rnacentral:lncRNA from 1 species
GGAAUAACCCACCACUUCCCUCCCUACAGGAAGAAUCUCGCAGUGCCUAUGACUGCUUAACUCUACAGUUACUAUGAGUGGACUCAUUAUAAACAAGGAUCUUGAGGGAAGUGAAGUCGCUGUGCGUCCAGCCCCUAACGGCACCAAGCAUAGAACAUGUUCAAUACUGACCGCAGAGGGGGAAGCAAGUGGGGGUGCCAUGUACAGAAGUAAUGUAGAAAAGAGCAGUAAGAGAAGAAGAUGAAAGCAGACUGUAAAAGGGUUGCAAAGGUCCUAAGCAGUCGCUAGUGGAGGUUUGCAGUUUUGCCCUGGGUUUCUUAGCAACCAGAGCAAAAAAAGAAACACAAUCAGUUGUAGCAUUCACUGUGCCCAUAAGAUAAAAACAGAGCAGUUGCUCAGAAGAACGCUUCCCUCAGUCUUAAGGGAACAUUCCUACAGUAAAUGUGGGCUCAUGUUCCAGACAGCUGGUGUUCAGUACAUCCUCAGGCAGGUGAGCAAACAGAGUUUGGAGAUUUAAACCCUUGUGGGAGUUCAUCUACACUAAACAGAACAGCAGAGCACCAGUGCUUAGAGGCUUCCUACCACCGGCUUGUGGCUGACUGGACAGUGGUGCCAGAUCAAGGGACAGGAGUGUCAUCAAGUGACUCCGUCUGUAAACACAAUGGCUAGCGUGCUGUACAGUUCUGUCUUGUUCUGUUGUGGCUAUUGAGACCACAGGCGAAGCUGAUAGCCUGACUGCCUUCCCACUUCAUAUCUAGAAUUUUGGCUGAACUUAAAUCUGUUUACAUGUAUUUGUUGUAUGUGCGUGUGCGUGAUGUAUCUCUUGCAUGAAGUCAUAGGUCUGAGGGCAACUUCAGAGUUAGCUCUCUUCUUCUAACAUUUGGAUUCUGGGGAUCAAACUCAUGUCGUCAGGCUGAAGGAAAAGUACCUUUGCUUACUGAGCCAUCCUUAUAUUGUGCGCCAGUUGACUUUUGUCAAUUUGACACAAACCUAGACAUAUCUGGGAAGAGGAACCUCCAUUGAGAAAAUGCCUCCCUCCAUCAGAUUGCCUAUAGGCAAGUCUGUCUGGCGGGGGUUUUAUUACUAAUUGGUGUGAGAGGAUUCAGCUCUCUGUGGGUGAUGCCACCUCUGAUUAGUUUGUUCUGCAUGGUUUAAGAAAGUAGGCCAAGCAAGCCAUAAGUGAAUACACCAAUAACCAGCAUUCAAGAUGCUGUGAAAAAUUAUAAAACGCGUGCUACAAAGCCCAAAGGCAGUUGCAGACCACAAGGUCAAACUUCAUGCCCAAGGAGGUCAACACAGAACGGAAAAAGACUCAGAGGCCUUGACAGAUCACCAGCCAGCAGCCCUAGAGCUACACUCAGGGGUGGAUGACAGAGCCAGACAAUGCCAGCUUGGGGCGCAUGAGGCAUGGGAGGAGAUGAAGAUGCUUAGACAGGAAGGAAGAGGAAACAUGAAAGGAAGCUGAGGCAGGGUUGAGGAAACUUCCCAUGAUGGGCAAUGGCCAUAUACUUAUAGAUAUCUGGAAGAAAGAACUAUGGGAUAGGCAUGUUAAUGUCACCAGAAGGAGCAUGCAUAGAGUAGUUCUGGAUGGUGGGAUGAAUUCAAGUGCAAAGACAGGAAAAUUAGUCUUGAAAAGAAAGCGGAUUUCUGCAGCUGGCAGGCAAGGGUC